GUGCCAGCCGCCGCGGUAAUACGUAGGGGGCUAGCGUUGUCCGGAAUCAUUGGGCGUAAAGCGCGUGUAGGCGGUCCGGUAAGUCCGCUGUGAAAGUCGGGGGCUCAACCCUCGGAUGCCGGUGGAUACUGUCGGGCUUGAGUACGGAAGAGGCGAGUGGAAUUCCUGGUGUAGCGGUGAAAUGCGCAGAUAUCAGGAGGAACACCAAUUGCGAAGGCAGCUCGCUGGGACGUUACUGACGCUGAGACGCGAAAGCGUGGGGAGCAAACAGGAUUAGAUACCCCUGUAGUCC
rnacentral:rRNA from 1 species